rnacentral:rRNA from 1 species
GAUGAACGCUGGCGGCGUGCCUAAUACAUGCAAGUCGAGCGAACGGACGAGAAUCUUUCUUCUCUGAUGUUAGCGGCGGACGGGUGAGUAACACGUGGAUAACCGACCUAUAAGACUGGGAUAACUUCGGGAAACCGGAGCUAACACCGGAUAAUAUUUUGAACCGCAUGGUUCAAAAGUGAAAGACGGUCUUGCUGUCACUUAUAGAUGGAUCCGCGCUGCAUUAGCUAGUUGGUAAGGUAACGGCCUACCAAGGCGACGAUGCAUAGCCGACCUGAGAGGGUGAUCGGCCACACUGGAACUGAGACACGGUCCAGACUCCUACGGGAGGCAGCAGUAGGGAAUAUUCCGCAAUGGGCGAAAGCCUGACGGAGCAACGCCGCGUGAGUGAUGAAGGUCUUCGGAUCGUAAAACUCUGUUAUUAGGGAAGAACAUAUGUGUAAGUAAAUGUGCACAUCUUGACGGUACCUAAUCAGAAAGCAACGGCUAACUACGUG